AGUGGGGAAUAUUGGACAAUGGGCGAAAGCCUGAUCCAGCCAUGCCGCGUGUGUGAAGAAGGUCUUCGGAUUGUAAAGCACUUUAAGUUGGGAGGAAGGGUUGUACGCUAAUACCGUGCAAUUUUGACGUUACCGACAGAAUAAGCACCGGCUAACUCUGUGCCAGCAGCCGCGGUAAUACGGAGGGUGCAAGCGUUAAUCGGAAUUACUGGGCGUAAAGCGCGCGUAGGUGGUUUGUUAAGUUGGAUGUGAAAUCCCCGGGCUCAACCUGGGAACUGCAUUCAAAACUGACUGACUAGAGUAUGGUAGAGGGUGGU
rnacentral:rRNA from 1 species